rnacentral:rRNA from 1 species
AACGAACGCUGGCGGCAGGCCUAACACAUGCAAGUCGAGCGCGCCCUUCGGGGUGAGCGGCGGACGGGUGAGUAACGCGUGGGAAUAUGCCCUUCUCUACGGAAUAGCCUCGGGAAACUGAGAGUAAUACCGUAUACGCCCUUUUGGGGAAAGAUUUAUCGGAGAAGGAUUAGCCCGCGUUGGAUUAGGUAGUUGGUGGGGUAAUGGCCUACCAAGCCGACGAUCCAUAGCUGGUUUGAGAGGAUGAUCAGCCACACUGGGACUGAGACACGGCCCAGACUCCUACGGGAGGCAGCAGUGGGGAAUCUUAGACAAUGGGGGCAACCCUGAUCUAGCCAUGCCGCGUGAGUGAUGAAGGCCUUAGGGUUGUAAAGCUCUUUCAGCUGGGAAGAUAAUGACGGUACCAGCAGAAGAAGCCCCGGCUAACUCCGUGCCAGCCGCCGCAGUAA